UCAUCACCUGCACUGCAACUCAUCCUCCCUGAUCAACACAGAACAACUAUGGCAGCAGCAGCCUUAUCAAGAAGCAAAGGACGCCUGUUCUUCCUCCUCAGUCUGCUGUGUCUGGUUGGCCUCGCAAGUUUACGCAAAGACGACAUGAACCUGGACAAUUCCAAAGUACUAAUUCAGAAAACGGAAGAAAAGCUAAACCAGUUGAAGGCACAAAAGGACUUCUUAUCAACGCUCAUGAGUGAAACAAAGACCUUUACUGAACAGAGGAUGGCCGCUUUGGAGAAGUUUUUGUCAGAAGAAUCUGCUGACGAUGAUCUACCACUGAAAAACCUUUUUCAGAGCUUAUUGCAUUUAUCUGACUCAGCCAAGGCUUUUUUCGACAAGGAGAAUGAGGUGUCUGAUGCAGAAAUAACCAACAUGAAGCUAGAUCUGGAAAAGACUAAGCGACUUGUCCAAGCCCUUGAGGAGUACCACUCUGAAUUGUAAUGUUUAAGUCAGUCAAUGUCUCUCUUGCAUCUCUGAUAAUGAAUAUGCUGUAGUCUUUGGUCUUUCUUUUCUAUUGUGUUUCUUUGCACUGGUGUUUAAAUCAUGAAUUCCUUUUUCCUUCUUUAUCAUACAAUUUGUGAAGCAGAGAGAAUGUUGAUAAUAAAUCAACAUAAACACUGACAUGACAACAAUUAACCCAAAUGAUUUGUUUUGGUUUUUCUUUCAUUUGAAUUCUUGAGCAAUACUUCAAUACUCAAUCAUUUGACAUAGGCUGCAAACUUUAAAAAUGUUGAUUAUUAUUUAAUAAAUGUUCUGCCUAUUGAUUUUACAUCGCUGUAGAGUUAUAUGUUUUUAUAUACUACAUGCCUUCCUCAGAAAGAACGGCACACACCUGCUAGCCAAACACACAAACAGAAAAAAAGAAAUUAAAGAACAACGUCAGGGAAAGCAGCAUAUUCACAAACAUAAGGGCCAAUAAACCAAACCAUAACCGUUAUACUGUUGGUCUUGUGUAGCCAAAUGUCCGACGUGCACAGUAACAUGGAAACCUAAAGGUUCGCAAUUUCAAACCUAAAUUCAUGAAUUUACUCACUAAGCCACAAGAGUUUGUUCUUGUCUGAAAUAUUUUCUUUACAUUAGUCCAGGUGCUUAGAAUGUUACUUACAAUAAAGUUGUCCCUGGUGCUUGUUUAAUUGAUUUAUUCAAGCUAUGGUGUCAUCGCAAUCCCCCUUCCUGACCACUAGAUGGCAAAGUAUAGCGAAUGAAACACCCUGAAGCUUCUGCCCAUGAGUGAACCA
ensembl:lncRNA